UGCAGUCGAGGGGCAGCAUUACUUUCGGGUAGAUGGCGACCGGCGCACGGGUGCGUAACGCGUAUGCAACCUGCCUUAUACAGGAGGAUAGCCCAUGGAAACGUGGAUUAACACUCCAUAGUAUCAUAUUAUCGCAUGAUAAAAUGAUUAAAACUUCGGUGGUAUAAGAUGGGCAUGCGUAGGAUUAGGUAGUUGGUGAGGUAACAGCUCACCAAGCCGACGAUCCUUAGGGGUUCUGAGAGGAUUAUCCCCCACACUGGUACUGAGACACGGCCCAGACUCCUACGGGAGGCAGCAGUGGGGAAUAUUGGACAAUGGGGGAAACCCUGAUCCAGCAAUGCCGCGUGUGUGAAGAAGGCCUGCGGGUUGUAAAGCACUUUCAGUAGAGAAGAAAAGCCUACGGAUAAUACCCGUGGGUCUUGACGUUACCUACAGAAGAAGCUCCGGCUAACUCCGUGCCAGCAGCCGCGGUAAUACGGAGGGAGCGAGCGUUAAUCGGAAUUACUGGGCGUAAAGCGCGCGUAGGCGGCUUUGUAAGUCGGAUGUGAAAGCCCUGGGCUUAACCUGGGAAUUGCAUUCGAUACUGCAGAGCUAGAGUAUGGUAGAGGGAAGUGGAAUUUCCGGUGUAGCGGUGAAAUGCGUAGAUAUCGGAAGGAACACCGGUGGCGAAGGCGACUUCCUGGGCCAAUACUGACGCUGAGGCGCGAAAGCGUGGGUAGCAAACAGGAUUAGAUACCCUGGUAGUCCACGCCGUAAACGAUGAUCACUCGUUGUUGGCCAUGCAGUCGAGUGCAGUCGAGGC
rnacentral:rRNA from 1 species